GUACAAGGAAGACGAAAGCUUGGAGUGUUUAUGAGAUGUAAGUAGUACAGGAUGUGCUCAGUCUUCAUCUCCACUUGAUGUGGACAUCACACUCACACUGUUGUCUCCACAGCCGCCUGAUGUGUAUCGCCAUGGAGACAGCUUUCCAGUGUUUCUCUUUUCUAAUACUAUUUAGUUUACACAAGCUGGCGUUUCCUUCUUGUAAUACAAGUGGAAAGGUGGACGUCAGUGAAAUAUUAUAUCAAAAAGAAGGCAGUUUUUUAAAUAUUAGUUAUCUUCUUAAUAUUAGCGAAAACUCAAUAUCUACAGACACAUCACGUCUCAAUGUUGACGUGUGCCACAAUAACAACCGAACACUUCUGUGCAAAUUUAUAAGGCCACAGCAGUAUCAGAACUUCACUGUGAAAUAUAAUGAUGUCAGUAAUGACACAGUGUGUGUAGCAGAGCGUCGCUACUUCACCAGCUCCAUGAGGACCUGGGAGAUAAAGAUUUCACAGCUGCUCACUCGGUCCAUCACUGCGAUAUAUCUCGACAUUCGGGAUAAAAGUCUACACAGACAGACAGUGCUGGAGAUACCCAUUGAUGUGACAUACCCAUCCGAAGUCACAAAUCUGAGCGUAGACGGACAAGAAGUGAAUAGUACUCACCUUAUUAAUGAGGGUGAAGUCAACGUCUGCUGCUCUUAUAACAGAGGAAAUCCUCCUGCUGUCUUCAAUCUCUUAGACACGAAUGGAAUGGGAAUUGCUAAUAAAGUGGACAAAAACAUAAUGGAAACUGAGGAUGGUGAAGAGCUUCUGAAGGUUUCGCUGUCAGUCAGGUGUCAAGACGACUGGCCGACAAUUCGUUGUGAAGGAAAGGAGUCGAAAAGAAAUAGAUCGGUGUCCUUGCUUGUGAGAUGUGCUCCUCAGUUUGUUGACGGUCCUGUCACAUUUGUCUCCUCAGAACUCGAGAAAGUUACAUUUCGUAUAAAAGCACACACAACAAUAUUCAAUGAAUGUUCCCUGACACCGACCCCGUCACAAAAUACAUCCAUUCCGAAGGUGAAAUGCAACCUGAGUGGAGAGCCUCCUAAUCUGGUGUUGACGCUUCAUCCGGAAGAAAACAUUACCCAAGGAAUCUGGAAAAUAACUCUUGGCAAUGAAAUAGGCUCUGCCAACACAACAGUGAACAUCACUGAACAUUCUAUGUCUGAGACGACAGCCCCAAGUGUCGAAUCAGUCGGUGUAUUAACAAUCAGCUUCUCGUGUGGUGGUGUCUUGCUUGCCGUUGUUAUUACCAUUGUCGUCAUUUUUGUUAAAAUAACGACCAAAGAAAAUGAAAACGGUAAGUUUAUGUUAGACAACAUUGUGGUCUACUAUUUAUACGUGUCAUGUUGCUUAAAAUAGUUCCCAUUAAGUUUGUAAUACAUUUAUACUUUUGUUUAAUGUUUUUAAGACUCUUAUUCUUAACUUUCUAGCUACCUAAAGAAUUGCUAAAACACUUUCGUAACCAUGUGGUGAAUGUUAGGGAAGAACCUAAGGGAGGUGUCGCGAAGCACAUCCAGACAUAGUGCGUAUGCAUCUCUCAUGUGUGUUCGCGCGCGUGCGUGUGUCACUUGAAAAUCAUUUCAAGUGGCAAACAUGUUGCCUGCAGAUCACCUCCUAGAACCAUUGAAUACCAUUUAUCAUUUCAUUGUAUUCUUGAAUAUUUUAUCCCUGGUCUUUCAGUCUCUCUAUUUUUAAAAAAGGAAAUAUACCGAGAAAGCAUACCCAGUAAUACUGUUGUGUUGCAGUUUUCGAGCAUCUUCUUUUGUGUUGAAAGUACGGUACAGCCUUCAUAAUUAUUUGUAUUUAGCUGCGAAAUGAAGUUCUGCGAGUGUUUAGUUUGUAUUGUGUGUUUGAAUUUUUGACGUUUGUGAGAAAACAGAUUUCUGUCGUUCGGUGGACUUCAUAAGAACAAACAAAAGUUAACUCGCGUUGACACAAACGUCUUAAUUACGUGGCGCGAAUCGGCGCGUGUCGUCACAACCACGUGACCGUGUGUUUUUUCUCGAUGCUGGAAAUCUGGAAACAACAAUCAGCAUGCAACAAGCGGUUUUGCUACUGUAAGUUGAGAAUAUACCAGUAAAUAAACACAUUUCAGUCUUGAAACACAAGUCCCUUCUUCCAGCUACCUGCCUGUUGGUCAUGCAUGCCUUCUGUUCUGAGCAGUUCACACAUGCAGUUGUGUUUAUGUACUUAGGUGGGCUGCCUGAAUCCAUGUUUCUGCAACGGAGCACGAGCUUCAUAAGAGUUCUCAAUGCAAGAACAUUGAUAUAUCGGCUUACAUGCUUGCUUAUGAGCAUUGCUUUACUUUUGCUACAUAUUGUGUUUAUGACCACAUGCUGUGCCAACAUUCUAAGAUAUUCCGUCUGUACGCUUCCUUUACUUACUUCUAAGAAAUAUCGUUACAAAAUAAUUGGACAAGCUUUAUCUACAGAUAUAAUGUUAUAAAAUUUUAAGAUUUUUUCGAAGCCUAUUGCACGCAUUUCUUUUUAAAAAUAAACUUAAUAAUUUACUUUUCCUUUGAUGGAUCAAAAAAAAAAAACAGUCUACAGUCUACUUAAUAGCUCAUAUUUGGGAAAAACCAUAAUCCUUGUAGCUUCGAUUACCAUUUUAAUAUAGAGUCGGAAAUCAUAUUUUGGUAUGCCUUUAUCAGUAUCUCUAUUUUUAUUGAUACUUCACAUGACUGCGCAAGACAUUUUGGAGCACUUAUUGCUUUCUUUCCGUUCCCUAUGCCUACUUCAAGAAAACUAAGCAAUGGUUCUGCAUGUUGAAUGCACGACACGUUAAGCACGAGGUAUAAGAUGCAGUACAUUCUGAGUUCUAUUAAAAUCUUUUGUAUGUCUUUGCGAUUUCAUCAGUUACCUACACAAUAAGUGUUGCUAUGUUCUCGUACUGACAAUCUUUCUAGCCCUGACCAAUCAUGCAUUUCUUGGGUCUUUCUGCAUGUUUUCUUUACCUCUCUACAUUGCCUUAUAUUUUUCUUCGUUUACCACUGUAGUGUACUAACAUUUCGCUCUGGAGACAGACCUUUUUAAAUAUUUAAUAUUAUUUGUAUUAAUUCAAAUAUCUAGAGAGAAAGACAUUGCUUCUGGGAUUUUUUUAAAAGGCUGAGGCAAAUAAGAACCAGUGUGUCUUUCAGUUAUAUCACAGAAAAUAAUCGCAUUUUCAAAUCUACUACAGAAACCUAUCCUGAGAAAUUCAACUAUAUUUCGUGAAAAGGAAGUAAAUUUGUUCUAGAAGUGGGCGAAGAACCAAAGAGCCUGCAAAACAAAUGAUUUCUUAGUGAUUGCAAAGAAAUCAUGUCCGGCAAAGAACUAUUAUUGUCAAUGUGAGUGUUUAUAAAUAGAAGCGAAGGAUCAAGUCAAAAUAUGGGAGAAAGAUCAUGAUCUUCAUAAACGUGGACUGCAGGUUAAAGUUUACCAUCCAAAUACAAAUGCCAUCACAAGUGAAGGCUAGACUCAGACCAAACCUUGUAAGAUAUAACAGUAAACUCAUUGUAUUUAUUUCCCUUUUGACGUGCAUGACUUUUUCAUGAAGGAAUUAAUGAUCCUGGAGUCAGUUUUCUCAGCUGAGUGUCGAGGACACUUCACAAGAAGGCAAGGGCAGUAUUCCAUGUACAAAACGUGCACUGCCUAUAUCUAGUUCUUACAGCAGUUUGUAAGAAAGUAAAAAGAACUAAUUAUUUUUUCACAGGGAACAACAUAUUUGGAACAUUUGUGAAAGUUCUAGACAAAAAGGACUAACGAAACAAGAUAACAAGUCGCGCUUAGGUCACACAGAACUGCGUUUACAUUUCGGCAAAUGCGGCUGACAAAGAAAAGCUAGAGACAAGAGAAACUACUUUAUAAACUUUACAGAGUAUGUUAUGUUAUUGGUGCUCGCCAUCUUACUAACAGAAAGUUAAUAUCAAACGUAAAAAUUAAAUCAGUAAGAAAUGAACUAAGAAAAAGGUACAAGCGCAAAAAGGAAGGAAUGAAGGAACGUACGUAGCAAUGGACUGGAAUGAUCUGAAAGCAAAUGGAUUAAUUAAACAUAGACAUAGACUAGACAUACCAAAACGAUAUUGUGCACUGUAGAAAGACAACUACAAAUAAAUAAAACACACAACAACAGAAUAACAAACACUACAUGAUGCAGUAUAUAUUCAUUGUGUGUGAAAGCUUGGCGCAAUUCAAGUUUUUGUUUUUCAUUUGAAGCAAUUGUUCUUUGUAAUCUUACAUAGCAAUCUCCACUGACAAUGUUCAAAGAAGGAAUAGGAAAAGUAUUUCCUUGGAUAAUGCUCGCUAAUGUGUAGUUGGCUGGAGUAAUUGAUAAACAUUUGUAUUUCUUAGGCGCACGGUUUCGUUUGUGACACAAAUAAAGAUACCAUCUUUAGUGUUAUCAUCAUUACAUUAGUGGAGGACCAUAAUAAAGCUUUUGUAUCUGUUAUUUUGUUUUAGAAGGAACAGUCAAAAUAAUUGGUAAAUAAUACACAAUAGUAUUCCUAGAAAUAUCUCUAGUGACAGAUACGUUCCCAAAGUACCACUCAUAUUGAGGUCUAGAAGAAUGAUUUUAGAGCUUUUUUGUUCUAUUAUAAUUAGAUGGUAACAGAUGUCAUUGCUAA